AGCAGCCGCGGUAAUUCCAGCUCCAAUAGCGUAUAUUAAAGUUGUUGCAGUUAAAAAGCUCGUAGUUGAAUUUCGGGAUCAAUUAAUUGGUCGUGCCUAUGGUACGUACUGAUUUUAUUGGUUUCUCCCUUCUGACGAACCAUGAUGUCAUUAAUUUGGUGUCGUGGAGAAUCAGGACUGUUACUUUGAAAAAUUAGGGUGUUUAAAGCAAGCUAACGCUUGAAUACAUUAGCAUGGGAUAAUGAAAUAGGACGUUUGAUCCUAUUUUGUUGGUUUCCAGGAUCGACGUAAUGAUUAAUAGGGAUAGUUGGGGGCAUUAGUAUUCAAUUGUCAGAGGUGAAAUUCUUGGAUUUAUUGAAGACUAAACUGACUGCGAAAGCAUUUGCCAAGGAUGUUUUCAUUAAUCAAGAACGAGAGUUAGGGGAUCGAAGACGAUCAGAUACCGUCGUAGUCUUAACCAUAAACUAUGCCGACUAGGGAUCGGAUGAUGUUAAUUUUCUAGUGACUCAUUCGGCGUACC
rnacentral:rRNA from 1 species